UUGGAGCUUGCUUCGAGGGGAUCAGUGGCGAACGGGUGAGUAACACGUGAGUAACCUGCCCCGGACUCUGGAAUAAGCGCUGGAAACGGCGUCUAAUACCGGAUACGAGACGCAACCGCAUGGUUAGUGUCUGGAAAGUUUUUCGGUCUGGGAUGGACUCGCGGCCUAUCAGCUUGUUGGUGAGGUAAUGGCUCACCAAGGCGACGACGGGUAGCCGGCCUGAGAGGGCGACCGGCCACACUGGGACUGAGACACGGCCCAGACUCCUACGGGAGGCAGCAGUGGGGAAUAUUGCACAAUGGGCGAAAGCCUGAUGCAGCGACGCCGCGUGAGGGAUGACGGCCUUCGGGUUGUAAACCUCUUUCAGCAGGGAAGAAGCGAAAGUGACGGUACCUGCAGAAGAAGCACCGGCUAACUACGUGCCAGCAGCCGCGGUAAUACGUAGGGUGCGAGCGUUGUCCGGAAUUAUUGGGCGUAAAGAGCUUGUAGGCGGUUUGUCGCGUCUGCUGUGAAAAUCCGGGGCUCAACCCCGGACUUGCAGUGGGUACGGGCAGACUAGAGUGUGGUAGGGGAGACUGGAAUUCCUGGUGUAGCGGUGAAAUGCGCAGAUAUCAGGAGGAACACCGAUGGCGAAGGCAGGUCUCUGGGCCACUACUGACGCUGAGAAGCGAAAGCAUGGGGAGCGAACAGGAUUAGAUACCCUGGUAGUCCAUGCCGUAAACGUUGGGCGCUAGGUGUGGGACUCAUUCCACGAGUUCCG
rnacentral:rRNA from 1 species